CGAGGGGACGGUGACGAAGCAGUACGCGGCACACGCGCGCUGCAGCCACCCGCCCGACGCCGCGCCCGCACCACCAGCACCCCCGGCGCCGCGCAGCGACAGCGCGUUCACAGCCUGCCGAUGAUACACAAAGUGCCGAUAAUUCUCCGCAGUCUCUUAUAGAUGAUAUAUCAAGAUGAAACAGACACCAGUUUUUAAUGAGACCUUCAGAGACACAACUGUGAAAACCACAUUCAAUUAAGUGUAAUACCAUUAAGUAGUUUAUGUGUAAUGUGCAAACAUACAGACAAAAAAAUUGUUUUGACAUCUAUUGGUUUUAUUAAGAUCCCUUUUUCUUAAAUAUCUCCCAUAUACAGACAUUGUGUAGUUACAACUUUAUAUUAACACAACUUUAUAUAUUAGUAAGAUGCAAGACUAUAUGUCAUAU